rnacentral:rRNA from 1 species
UACGUAGGGGGCUAGCGUUGUCCGGAAUCAUUGGGCGUAAAGCGCGCGUAGGCGGCCCGGUAAGUCCGCUGUGAAAGUCAAAGGCUCAACCUUUGAAUGUCAGCGGAUACUGCCGGGCUAGAGUCCGGAAGAGGCGAGUGGAACUCCUGGUGUAGCGGUGGAAUGCGCAGAUAUCAGGAAGAACACCAACGGCGAAGGCAGGUCUCUGGGCCACUACUGACGCUGAGAAGCGAAAGCAUGGGGAGCGAACAGG